rnacentral:rRNA from 1 species
CAGCCGCCGCGGUAAUACGUAGGUGGCAAGCGUUGUUCGGAAUUAUUGGGCGUAAAGGGCUCGCAGGCGGUUUCUUAAGUCUGAUGUGAAAGCCCCCGGCUCAACCGGGGAGGGUCAUUGGAAACUGGGAAACUUGAGUGCAGAAGAGGAGAGUGGAAUUCCACGUGUAGCGGUGAAAUGCGUAGAGCUGUGGAGGAACACCAGUGGCGAAGGCGACUCUCUGGUCUGUAACUGACGCUGAGGAGCGAAAGCGUGGGGAGCGAACAGGAUUAGAUACCCCCGUAGUCCCUGUCUCUUAUAC